CCUACGGGUGGCUGCAGUGAGGAAUAUUGGUCAAUGGACGCAAGUCUGAACCAGCCAUGCCGCGUGCAGGAAGACGGCUCUAUGAGUUGUAAACUUCUUUUGUACGAGGGUAAACUCAGAUACGCGUUUCUGUCUGAACGUAUCGUACGAAUAAGGAUCGGCUAACUCCGUGCCAGCAGCCGCGGUAAUACGGAGGAUUCAAGCGUUCUCCUGAUUUCUUGGGUUUAAAGGGUGCGUCGGCGGUCGGAUAAGUUAGCGGUGAAAUGCCGAGGCUCAACUUCGGAAUUGCCUCUGAUACUGGUAGGCUAGAGAGUAGUUGCGGUAGGCGGAAUGUAUGGUGUAGCGGUGAAAUGCUUAGAGAUCAUACAGAACACCGAGUGCGAAGGCAGCUUACCAAGCUACAUCUGACGUUGAGGCACGAAAGCGUGGGGAGCAAACAGGAUUAGAUACCCCAGUAGUC
rnacentral:rRNA from 1 species